rnacentral:lncRNA from 1 species
CGCUUCGCAUAACAAACGAUGCUGGUACGAGAUGGCUUAACAGCUCUAUUAGUGAAAGAAGAAAUGGAGGGAAGCAAUACUUUAUCAUGAGAAAAAAAAGUCAUUCAAGGUUUCAUGAGGACAGUUAUCAUGUAUUUGCACAGAAAAUUGACUAAGACACUGACCUCUCAAGAUCCCUCACCUCCCUGGGCAGCGUUACCAGUCAAAUUAUUGAUUAACAUUCCUAGCUGAAGUGAAAAGACAUUUUCCAAACAUCAGCACAGGAGAUGUUUGAUAAAUACACAGAGGAACUUAAAAACGGGCUCUAGCCAGUGUAUUUAUUUAUUUAUUUAUUUCUAAAUUGCUUGUUCCUUCCUGUAGGUGUGUGUGUGUGUGUGUGUGAGGCAGGACGGAUUUGGCAGCGUCUUAUCAGCAAACGAAGUCUGCGCCACAGUGACAUCAUGGCUGCCCAUGCAGCUAAUGCAACCAGCAUCUCUCCAAAGUCUGAGUCUAAAGCUACCUGAACUCCAGCAGCUCAGCCACAGUAUGCUACAUAUUUUAUUAACCUGGGAGUGGACAUCAAUUUUCGCAAAUAGAGAAGGGCAGCAGAGUUUGUUGGAGAGAAUGGCAAGCACAUCUAACCAGUUGUCCGUCUGACAAGGGCAGUGAGACUGGCUGCUCCACGGCUGUCGCUUGUAGGAAGCUGACACACACACAGUGCCCCAGCGGGAAGAGUGUCAGCUCAACCAAAAGAGAAUGACAGUCACCAGUGCCGCCGGAUCACACAUCAGACUCGCUGUCUAUUAGUGCACGUGGGUAGGUAAACUGGUGUCAUGACUGCAAUUCUGUAUCUGCCUAUGCAGCAUGUCAACUUUAAACCCUAUUAUUAGAAUUUACACAUAAUCCUUUAAAAUAUCAUAGUGUUAACUUGCGUGACGUCAAGCCUGAUUUCAGGAGUGCAUUACAAAUGCUUCAGAUUAAAUUUGACUUCUUCAUAAAUAAAUAAGUAUUUUUAGGCUGGUCCAACUUGGUCCUUGUGUACAUUAGCACAGUAAUUGGCAGUGCAAAUCUUUCAUGACACUGAGCAAUAGCAGAUACCCCUGUGAAUCACUGGCUCAAGGACUGAGCUGUCAUGUGAUCAUUAUGUUUGCUCAGUCUUUAGAUUAAUUCUAACAAACAGAGCAAGAAAUGAACAGAAAUGACAUUUCCAGUGUAUAGACAUUUUUGUGCAUUUUCUGUAUAUAGGUGCUUUUAUACUGUUUUUUUUUUACCUGUAAGGAUCAGUUUUCUAAUUUUUCUUUGUAGAAACUUAAUGUCGACUAAUUCAUGUACAAUCAUAGGCUAUAUAAAUGGAUAGUCCUGCAUGCAAAAAUGAAAAUUCUGUAAUCACUUACUAAGUCUUAUGUAAUUUUAAACCUGAAUGACUUUCUUUCUUCUGUGGAACAUGAAAGAAGAUAUUUUUCCAAAACCAUGUGGCUACCAAAAUUCUUCAAAAUAUCUUCUUUUGUGUUCCAAAGAAAAAAGAAAAUAUUUAUGCUGGUAACCAAACAGCUUCCGAAACCAUUUGUUACCAACAUUCUUCAAAAUGACAUCUUUCAUGUUCCAAAGACAAGAGAAUAUUUUGAAGAAUGUUGGUAAACAAACAUU